CCUUCCUCUAUCCAUCUCUCUCUCUCUCUCUUGCAGAAAUGGCAACAGAGCGUCGCCUCCCUCAUCAUCAGUUCCAUCCUCCCUCAUCAGUUCCAUAAAAAUGCACAAUCCCACCAUUUACCUCCCAACUGGCCUUCAUUUACCGGAGUACUAGUUAAUCAUCGUUUCACAUACGUUUUCAGCGUUUCUACUUUUUCUUCUCUUCAAAUUCAAAUAUAGGGUUUUGGGUCAGGGUAGACGAAGAAGACAACAUGAGAAGAUCAAAGUGGUUGGCAACUCAGAACACCGCCGCCGUCAUCGUCGCCCUCCCAAAGAAGAAGACGAGAAGAUCAAAGAAUGCCGCCGCUCCUAUGUCAGAACUCCCAAGUGACAUAAUGUCCGACAUUCUAUCUCGACUCCCUCUCAAAUCACUUUUCAGAUGCAAGCGAGUAUGCAAGGUCUGGCGAAACAUCAUUCUGGAACCCUACUUCGCCGAAUUGCAUCUCUCAAGCUCUCCUCUCAGCCUCAUCUUCUACCGCAACGGUAAUAAUAAUAAAGACAAUAACAAUAGUGAUAACUCCUCCUCCUCUCACCUCGAAAUCUUACAACUCCACGAUCCCCUAUUUCUGGUUAUCGCAUCGCUCAAAUGAAAUUUAAUACUGAAAUCUACCUACCUCAUGCGCAUAUUCGAGUAGUAGCCUCAUGUGAUGGGUUAGUUUUGUUGUCAGAAUUUUGAAGACCUAGUUAUUGUGUGUAACCCACUUAGGGCACAGCGUUUUAUUCUUCCUAAACCUCAAAGGUUGGCGGUCAUCUUAUAGGAUUUGGGUUUGGGCAUAGUCUAGCGACUCGUCAAUACAAGGUGUUAAGAUAUAUUCGUACUUAUACCGGAUCAAUGGAAUUUGACAUUUAUACCCUUGGGAUUGACGAAGAAUGGAGGAGCCUUCGAUACACUGCAGAGCCACCCGCUAUUUUUUAUGUCACGACAUUAUAGUUUUUCUGAAUGGGGCUCUUCACUGGAUAGGCUAUAAGAGGCCACUGACCAUUUCCUAUUUUGAUAUCGAGGAAGAACAGUUCGGAAGCUUCCCAUUGCCUUCUCACCUUGGAGACCAUCGUAAUGCUCUUGUGGCUGUAGAUAAUCAGUUGUACAUUCACAACACGGAUCCGUAUGGUGAGUGAAAAUUUUGGGCAAUGAAAGAUUAUGGGGACUCUGGGUCCUGGACUUUGGAAUGGGUUAUUGAAGCAUCAAUUACUCGCGGGUUUCACCAAUUUUGCAAGCCACUGAAAAUGUUGAGAGAUGGAAAUCUGUUGAUGGCGUUCGACUGUUUUUUCUCGAAAAGGAGAGAUCACCAAGAUUACUCUAGCAUCUAAGUAUCAUGGUAUUUUACUAUGGGACGAUUCACUAUGGAAUGAUUCAGUUGCCGAUGUACCCUGCAUAUUUUCUCCAACAGCUUUGAAAUGACAAAUGUUAAAAUCUUUGAGUUGAGAUACUGAGAUGUGGGGACUUUUUUGGUGGAAAAACAAAUAGCCAGAUCUAGUUAAAUGUUGCUUCGGGGGGUGAAAGUUGCCUUUUUGGUAUAGCUGUAAAUGUUGAAGCAAAGCUGGACUUGUCACCUAUACUAAUUUGCGUAUUUUUGGGGGGCUGAAAGAUUUCAAACGAUGCUAGCUAAAGUAUGGUGAAUUUGCUCUUUGGUUGUUCUAUGCCAUGUAACCUGAAGCAAAGUGUAUUUGGACCUUGAAUCCACUGGUUCUUUUGUGUGGGUUUUAGUAGAAGCAUGUUAAACUGAGUCUUUCCCGGUUCUAUGGGGGACGAACGAACGAAAACCUAUUGAGUUAAGGUAAAGUUUGACUUUGACUUUGAAUUAUUUUUUUGUUGGUAUACAUGUUUGUUUGACUGUAACAUGAACUGAUGUAAUGGGGUAAGGCAGGAACAAGAUUCUUAGUCCCGUCCUGUGACAUCUAAUUGGUUUGGAAUCUACCAAGACAUUCUAGAAAGUUUGACAGUGUUGUUUGAUUUUAGAUUGAUUAGCAUUCUCUCAGAGC